UGGGGGAUAUUGCACAAUGGGCGAAAGCCUGAUGCAGCGACGCCGCGUGGGGGAUGAAGGCUUUCGGGUUGUAAACCUCUUUCGCUAUCGAACAAGGCCCGCUUAGGGUGGGUUGAGGGUAGGUGGAGAAGAAGCGCCGGCUAACUACGUGCCAGCAGCCGCGGUAAUACGUAGGGCGCGAGCGUUGUCCGGAAUUAUUGGGCGUAUAGGGCUUGUAGGCGGCUUGUUGCGCCUGCUGUGAAAACGCGGGGCUUAACUUCGCGCGUGCAGUGGGUACGGGCAGGCUUGAGUGUGGGAUGGGUGACUGGAAUUCCAGGUGUAGCGGUGGAAUGCGCAGAUAUCUGGAGGAACACCGAUGGCGAAGGCAGGUCACUGGGCCAUUACUGACGCUGAGGAGCGAAAGCAUGGGUAGCGAACAGG
rnacentral:rRNA from 1 species